GGAGUUUGGGCCGUGUCUCAGUCCCAAUGUGGCCGGUCAUCCUCUCAGAUCGGCUACUGAUCGUCGCCUUGGUGAGCCGUUACCUCCCCAACCAGCUAAUCAGACGCAGACCCAUCGCAAAGCGAUAACUUACAAGUAGAGGUCAUCUUUAACAAUACUUUCAUGCGAAAAUACUGUAACAUUCGGUAUUAGCAGCUCUUUCGAGCUGUUGUCCCCAUCUUUGCGGUAGGUUGUCUACGCGUUACUCACCCGUUUGCCACUAGAGUUUUUAAAGCAAGCUUCAAAAACUCCCGUUCGACUUGCAUGUGUUAAGCACGCCGCCAGCGUUCGUCCUCGAGCCACGGAGUCAAACUACU
rnacentral:rRNA from 1 species